rnacentral:rRNA from 1 species
UACGAAGGGGGCUAGCGUUGCUCGGAAUCACUGGGCGUAAAGCGCACGUAGGCGGAUCUUUAAGUCAGGGGUGAAAUCCUGGAGCUCAACUCCAAAACUGCCUUUGAUACUGGGGAUCUCGAGUCCGGAAGAGGUGAGUGGAACUCCGAGUGUAGAGGUGAAAUUCGUAGAUAUUCGGAAGAACACCAGUGGCGAAGGCGGCUCACUGGUCCGGUACUGACGCUGAGGUGCGAAAGCGUGGGGAGCAAACAGG